GUGGUGUGUUGGAGACAAGAAGUCCUGGGACUUGUUUUGACUUAAUUGGAGUUGAUGUUAUGCUUGACUCUAAUUACAAGGUUUAUCUACUUGAGAGUAAUAAUGGGCCAGAGCUGUAUACUAGCAGAGACAAAACUGAAACUAAAAAAAGCUAAUGAUUUAGCUCACAAAGCAGUUCAUCAUGAUUAUGAUACCAGUUACCAGAGUUGGACGCAAUACAUUACCUAAACCACAUGACUUCCAUAAAAGGUUGGUGGAGUACAUGAAUAGAAGUAAUAGACAUUUUUGUGGGGAACAAGUUGGAUUUGGUGGAAACUGCAUACAAAUAGAAGAGAUUACAAUGUUGUGGCUACAGUUUUAUGAAAUGUUAAAUAAAGGAAUUACUCCUUACAAAUUCAUAGUAUUGUUCUGGAUUAUAUCAAACUGGCUCAAAAAUUGUCAGCUGAUACAGUGAAACUGUUUUUGUGGUAGUUGUUGGGACAUAUCACAUUGUUUAUUUUAGAAUUUCUAUAAAUACUU